rnacentral:rRNA from 1 species
UACGUAGGGUGCAAGCGUUGUCCGGAAUUAUUGGGCGUAAAGAGCUCGUAGGCGGCCAUGUAGGUCCGUUGUGAAAACUCGAGGCUCAACCUCGAGACGCCGAUGGAAACCGUGUGGCUAGAGUCCGGAAGAGGAGAGUGGAAUUCCCGGUGUAGCGGUGAAAUGCGCAGAUAUCGGGAAGAACACCCGUGGCGAAGGCGGCUCUCUGGGACGGUACUGACGCUGAGACGCGAAAGCGUGGGGAGCGAACAGG